AGAACGCAUUACGUAAUGUGGUUGGCUGACAGAUCACGUGACCAGGGGGGGGAACACCACGUGGUUUUGGACAUUGCUGCAGUACAAAAAAAAAAUCCCAGCGAGCAGGUUCUGGUUACUUUACAAUAGGAAGCUCAAAUCUAUUCACUAUGUUACAAAGCAAACCCAUCCCAUAUCCUGGCCCAGAAGGGGUUAAGCCUAACAUGGGCUGACGGAAGCAACGCAAGCCUGGAAGACACCCAUGUGUGUGGGCUGCAUUUGACAAACAUGUCUGGUUAAGGAAACAGUAAGUCCCAGACACUUAACCAAUACUGACCUCUACAGGCAAGUACAGGCACUGCAGCUGAUUUUUCGAGCAAUUUGGAAAAAAGGAACUGAUCAGUCAUACUGCCAAAGAUGUUCAUAAUACAUCAUUACUAAAGACGAGCAAAUCUAGAAAAAGAUCUGCUGAAACUGAAUCCAAGAACUCAGCCAUCGAUAUGUUUAGUCUUUUUUUUUUUUUUUUCGAAAGCCAUAAAGGUCUCCUGGGACUGCGUCAUAUCAGAUUUCUAUGGACAAUCAGAACACACUUGGAAAGUGGAAAAACUCUUUCAAGACUAAAUAAAUCAACAGCCUAUUCAUAAGAUAAGCAAAUUUACUAUUAAGAUUUGCCAAAUUUGUAUCUCUAGUCAUGCCUUAAAUGCUUUCUGCGGCCAGAAUAUGAGGAUCAGAGCACAGAUCUUACA